GGAUCACCAAGAAAACAAGGAGAAAUUACAGAAGGCAUCCGAUGCGCCAACUCAAUAUAUAAUAAGCCAAUAUUAAAUUGACAUGUGGUAUCAAUAGCUUUGAAAGCAAAUAUGUAAUUUCAGUAAAAAAAUUUUGAAAAAAAAAAGCAAUUUUAGUUAAACAGCAGCUCUAAUAUCAUACCAAAUAUGCCACUUGUUAAUUUAAUAUUGCCAUAUUGUAUGUUGAGCGGGCACAACCGAUCCAUCAAAUAAUUUCUCCAAAAAAAGUGCUCAUGGUAAGCUCUUUAUUUUCUCUUAAAAUAAGGUGAACAACACAAUAAUUAUGCUUUUAUUAUUAAAGAUUAUGUAUACAGGUUGUUGAGAGAUAAUAA
rnacentral:misc_RNA from 1 species